CGGUGCACCGCCGACCGACCUUGAUSUUCUGAGAAGGGKKCGAGUGUGAGCAUGCCUNUCGGGACCCNAAAGAUGGUGAACUAUGSSUGAGCGGGGUGAAGCCAGAGGAAACUCUGGUGGAGGCCCGCRGCGGUACUGACGUGCRAAUCGUUCGUCUGACUUGGGUAUAGGGGCGAAAGASUGAUCGAACCAUCUAGUAGAACCGGGANGUGGCNNCUGACGGCAACGUUAGGAAGUCCGGAGRCGUNGGCGAGGGCCCUGGGAAGAGUUAUCUUUUCUGCUUAACAGCCUGCCCACCCUGGAAANGCCUCAGNCGGANCUAGGGUCCAGNGGCUGGAAGAGCGCCGCACGUCGCGUGGCGUCCGGUGCCCUNNGCGGCCCUUGANGAUNCGGAGGAGGAAAAGGAUUGGCUCUGAGGGCUGGGCUCGGGGGUCCCUGUCCCGAACCCGUCGGCUGUUGGUGGACUGCUCGAGCUGAUCCUCGUGCCGGCCGGGNGACGGUUUAGGGGGCCUUCCCCGGGNGUCGAACAGCCGACUCAGAACUGGUMCGGACAAGGGGNNUCCGACUGUUUAAUUAAAACAAAGCAUUGCGAUGGU
rnacentral:rRNA from 1 species